rnacentral:lncRNA from 1 species
GGCUAUUGCCGGCAGUGGCUUUAAAUCCUCCGGGUUGCAGAUCUGGCCAGGUGGCCUGUCCUUCGUGAUUGCACAUCCAGCCUGGUGAGGCAGCUGCCAAACCCUCAGCUGUCGUCUUCCUCCAUGUGGCCCUUGCUCCUGAACUGUGACCCUGCUAACUACUUUCCUUCUCCCCAGACUCAAAUUUGUACAGUAAAAAACACUUCCAAACAUUUCUAUUUGAUGGAACGGAAGGAGAAUUAACAAGUAUUUCAAUCUUACAUGACCUCUGAAGAAAUGCUGAAGGAGGCUGACAGGAAAGAGUUACCCAACAGAUACCAAAAUGAUCCCGAGCUCUGAAGUUCUGAGCUCAGAAAUGUGUUUGCACAGCAUAGAUGCAUUAGAUCCUGUUCAGCAAUAGAACUGGAGAAAUACCACAGUAAAGCAGAUGUGACGAGCCCACCAGACAGUAACAAGUGCAAACUUCCUCCCAGGUUCCUAGUUGAGUAUGUUUGUGCCAGGUCAUUACAGUAUCACUUCUUUUCCCACUUAAUAUGUUUCUUUCCUCCUUUUAUCUUUGUUAAAAUAUUUUGGUACUUCAUUGUAACUCUAUUAGAAUAAAGGAAUACUUGCUUUAUAUUUGUAUGCAGUUCUUUCCAGAUUUAACGAAAUGGCCUGUAGAUGUUCCUGAUAAUUUUCUCCACUUUACAAUAUGUCUUUAGAGAGGGAUCACACUAUUUCAGAAGAUAUUUGUAAAGUACUUUAAGGACUUUGAAAUAAAGGUGCCCCAAAGAUAAUGAGAUGAUUUUAUUCUAAACUACUCUGAAAUGUGAUUUUUCCAUUCUUUCCCCAUCAAGUGAAAAUCAAAAUAUGUCUUAACAAAUUUGUGAGAGGAUUAUGUCAGAAUGCCUUCGUAUGACCAGUCUAACAUUCUUGUACAUGGAAUUGUAUCAUAAAUACCAAAAAGGUAAGGGGCUAUUGAUCUCAUGUUUUCUUUCCUUCUCCUGCCACACCUUCUCUUUUUAGAUGAAUUUAUUUACUCUUCCUUUAGUCUUCCUUCUCUUUAUUAUAUAAAACAAUAUGAGGCAAUUUGUAACAUUUUCAAAAAUUUUACUAGAAGUCCCCAUGUCAGAAGAAUCACUGUUUUUGUAAAAUGCAUGAUAUAUUCACUGAUUAAUGCAUGUAUAUACCAGGUCUUGGGAUCCCACAGCAAAUGCAAUGUUGUGAUCUCCAUGACAACUCCAAGGUAUUCUUAUUUCAGUGUCCAAAUUUGAAAUUCCUGGACAUGUCUUAUCUAAGUCAUCUGCAUCAUAUAAGACAAGGACACAAUCAACCUAUGGUGGAAUGCUGAGAAAAAUAUGAAGUUUGCUCAUAUAGAACCACAGAUGUGGUUUACUCUGCUGAGACUUCAACAUAAUGACUCCUAAAAAUUAAGAUGUAAGCACAAGCCCUAUCUUGUGUAAUUAUCUGGUUUAAUUCAUCCCAAGCGCUAUCUUGUCUAUCUUGUGUAAUUAAUCCCAAAAGCUCAAAAUAGGGCUUGAUAUAUACUAGG